UACGAAGGGGGCUAGCGUUGUUCGGAAUCACUGGGCGUAAAGCGCACGUAGGCGGACUCUUAAGUCAGGGGUGAAAGCCUGAGGCUCAACCUCAGAACUGCCUUUGAUACUGGGAGUCUUGAGUGUGGUAGAGGUCGGUGGAAUAGCAAGUGUAGAGGUGAAAUUCGUAGAUAUUUGCUAGAACACCAGUGGCGAAGGCGGCCGACUGGACCAUAACUGACGCUGAGGUGCGAAAGCGUGGGGAGCAAACAGG
rnacentral:rRNA from 1 species